rnacentral:misc_RNA from 1 species
AGCUGACCCGCGGGGAGGUGCUGUCCCUUCUAGUUCGUCUGGCCUUUGCAACUGCUGCAUCAUACAUCACUGUCAAACUUUUGGUAUCUGCCAUGGAUCCCACGGCCAAGCAGAAAAAAGAUGCCAAGAGGAAGGCACAGGAAGUGAUGCAGAGACUUGGCAUCACGCAGAAGGUUACACUCAGUGAAUAUGAAAUGAUGAUUGCCAGUCAAUUGGUGGAACCAACACAACUUUCUACAUCGUGGAGAGAUGUGGCAGGCCUUUCAUCUGUCAUCCGAGAUUUGCGGGAAACACUCAUAUUACCCAUUCAGCAGAGAAAUCGACUUCAGGCAUCAAGGCUUAUUCAGCCUCCCAAAGGUGUGUUACUGCAUGGGCCUCCAGGCUGCGGCAAGACUCUCUUAGCCCGUGCCAUUGCCAAGGAAGCUGGUUCUCGCUUUAUCAACCUGGAUGUUGCAGCCUUGACAGACAAGUGGUAUGGAGAGUCUCAGAAACUCUCCUCAGCCGUCUUCUCCCUAGCCUCGAAGAUUGAGCCAUGCAUCAUAUUUAUUGAUGAAAUUGAUUCAUUCUUACGUGUGCGUGCGACUGGAGAUCAUGAAGCAACAGCCAUGAUGAAAGCACAGUUCCUGCAGCAGUGGGAUGGCCUUGCCACUGAUCACAGCCGCUGUGUCAUAGUCAUGGGUGCCACCAACAGGCCUAAUGAUGUGGAUCGUGCCAUACUUCGUCGCAUGCCAGCUGCCUUCCACAUUCCUCUGCCAGGUUUGCAACAGCGUGAAGACAUCCUCCGCUUGGUCUUACGUGAUGAGUCCAUGGCAGACGACACUGACAUUGCCAUCCUUGCCAGACAGACAGAGAGCUUUUCUGGGUCAGAUUUAUUAGAAUUGUGCCGUACAGCAGCUGUAUACAGGCUUCGUCACCUGCUCAGUGAGACAUGUGGUCAGGAAACAGAGGCUGUGCCACUGCAAGAACGUGAGAUGAGCGAGUCAACAGAGCCUCUACGGCCCAUAACAAGAGCUGACUUUAAACAGGCCCUUACCAAGAUGAGCGAGUCAAGAGUGUACAACAGACAAGCUGAUGCAUUAGUCAAGAUAGACCUUGACUGAGGCUGGUGAACCUAGGGAUUGUUAGUGUUACCCAGGGACGGCACAGUGGUCAAACCACCUGAUAUUCGGGUAAAAUGUCUCAAUUCUGUGAUGCAACAUUUUAUAAUUCAUUAUUCAAAUGUUACUUAAAUUUUUAAAGAUAUAUUCAACAAAUGUCCAACCUGAAGUUUUUUAAUAUAAACAAAUUAAAAAUGGAAAUUGGAGUUCAUAAGUAAAUGUGGUAAUAUUUUAGGCCCCUAUAAAAAUAAAGGAUUGCAUAAAGACUCUUCAUUGUGUAGAAGAUUAUUAGUGUGCAUGACAUGAAUGUUUGCGUAAGAGAAUUGAAUGUUAAGUGAGGAAGCUUAGUGACAGUAGACCAAGGUAUGAACUGUCCCAUACCUGGUCACUGCGAAGUGUUUUAUGUAAACCUGUAGCACCAAGUCCACUGACUGACAGGCUAUGCAAUAUGGGUAGGCCUAGCGAGAGGGAGUGUGUGUGUGGGCUUGAAGGGUUCACAUGGGAAAUAUGAGCUAGCAACACACACACACCCCAGUAAUAUGGGCUAGUCAUUAAUGCACUUGCUUAAUCUGCCACCCCUUGUACUAAUGCUGUGUGUAAUCAUAAACAUUAUACAUAGUAUUAGUACAUCAAUUAGUACAAUUAGACAUUAGUGUAAUGUAUAACAAGUACAUUAGAACUAAUUAGUACAUUAGAAUAAUUAGUACAUUAGAGCUAAUUAGUACAUUAUUAUACAUUAAACAUUUGUUUAUAUUGCUAUAAACUGAAGGAUAAAUUUGCACAGGAUACAACAAAUUUGUUAUUAUUCUUGGGUGCUUCCGUAGCAGUUUAUUAUCAGCCAUUGGUGAGUAAGAGUAAAAGGUAGAGACACACUUGUGUUCAUCAUAUUAACCUGACUAGCUAAUUUUAGCGCGCACAGGUGUAAGAACCCACAGCAUUACCCCAUCACUCCAUAUACCUGGAUGUAUAUGGAGCGGUGGGUGAGGUACUAGGUGAGUGUCCAGGUGUAUAUGAAGCAGUGGGUGAGGUACUAGGUGAGUGUCCAGGUGUAUAUGGAGCAGUGGGUGAGGUACUAGGUGAGUGUCCAGGUGUAUAUGGAGCGGUGGGUGAGGUACUAGGUGAGUGUCCAGGUGUAUAUGGAGUGGUGGGUGAGGUACUAGGUGAGUGUCCAGGUGUAUAUGGAGCAGUGGGUGAGGUACUAGGUGAGUGUCCAGGUGUAUAUGGAGCAGUGGGUGAGGUACUAGGUGAGUGUCCAGGUGUAUAUGGAGCGGUGGGUGAGGUACUAGGUGAGUGUCCAGGUGUAUAUGGAGCAGUGGGUGAGGUACUAGGUGAGUGUCCAGGUGUAUAUGGAGCAGUGGGUGAGGUACGAGGUGUAGAGGGCAUCCCAUGAUGUCUAAGACAAUUUCAAACUUUUUUAUGGCCAUGGAACCUUGAUAUUUGCAAAACAUUUUCAUUAAACUGUGACCAAAAGGCAGUGCUGAGAGGGUGGUAAUAAAACAAAAUUUUUAA